GCCGAGGUGGUGGAAUUGGUAGACACGCUAUCUUGAGGGGGUAGUGGGAGAAAUCCCGUGAGGGUUCGAGUCCCUCCCUCGGCA
rnacentral:tRNA from 1 species